UGGGGAAUUUUGGACAAUGGGCGAAAGCCUGAUCCAGCAAUGCCGCGUGUGUGAAGAAGGCCUUCGGGUUGUAAAGCACUUUUUGUCCGGAAAGAAAUCCUUGGCUCUAAUACAGUCGGGGGAUGACGGUACCGGAAGAAUAAGCACCGGCUAACUACGUGCCAGCAGCCGCGGUAAUACGUAGGGUGCAAGCGUUAAUCGGAAUUACUGGGCGUAAAGCGUGCGCAGGCGGUUUGCUAAGACCGAUGUGAAAUCCCCGGGCUCAACCUGGGAACUGCAUUGGUGACUGGCAGGCUAGAGUAUGGCAGAGGGGGGUAGAAUUCCACGUGUAGCAGUGAAAUGCGUAGAGAUGUGGAGGAAUACCGAUGGCGAAGGCAGCCCCCUGGGCCAAUACUGGCGCUCAUGCACGAAAGCGUGGGGGAGCAAAACAGGAUUCAGAUACCCUGGUAGUCCCACGCCCUAAACGAUGUCAACUAGUUGUUGGGGAUUCAUUUCCUUAGUAACGUAGCUAACGCGUGAAGUUGACCGCCUGGGGAGUACGGUCG
rnacentral:rRNA from 1 species